GACCUGGUAGUGUAUGGUAACACACCUGUUGCACAUGACACAGAGCCCGAUUAUUCGGCAGGAGAACCCCGUUCGAUUCGGGGCCAGGUCA